CAUUAAAUAGUUUAUUUAAAAUAUUAAUUUUGGGGAUUAAUGAAAAGAAAAAAUCUUUUUAAUGA
rnacentral:tRNA from 1 species